AUAUCAAUUAAGCGGAGGAAAAGAAACCAACAGGGAUUGCCCUAGUAACGGCGAGUGAAGCGGCAACAGCUCAAAUUUGAAAUCUGGCUCUUUCAGAGUCCGAGUUGUAAUUUGCAGAGGGCGCUUUGGCUUUGGCAGCGGUCCAAGUUCCUUGGAACAGGACGUCACAGAGGGUGAGAAUCCCGUACGUGGUCGCUAGCUAUUGCCGUGUAAAGCCCCUUCGACGAGUCGAGUUGUUUGGGAAUGCAGCUCUAAAUGGGAGGUAAAUUUCUUCUAAAGCUAAAUAUUGGCCAGAGACCGAUAGCGCACAAGUAGAGUGAUCGAAAGAUGAAAAGCACUUUGGAAAGAGAGUCAAACAGCACGUGAAAUUGUUGAAAGGGAAGCGCUUGCAGCCAGACUUGCUUGCAGUUGCUCAUCCGGGCUUUUGCCCGGUGCACUCUUCUGCAGGCAGGCCAGCAUCAGUUUGGGCGGUGGGAUAAAGGUCUCUGACACGUUCCUUCCUUCGGGUUGGCCAUAUAGGGGAGACGUCAUACCACCAGCCUGGACUGAGGUCCGCGCAUCUGCUAGGAUGCUGGCGUAAUGGCUGUAAGCGGCCCGUCUUGAACCACGGAC
rnacentral:rRNA from 1 species